UCGUAGAAUAAGCAAAGUACCGAAUGGGAGACCACCCAUAGCCGGUCGUGUGUCUCCCUUUAAGUACUUUGCAACAUUGUAUCUCUGUUAAUUACGGUCUGUUACGGGUGGCCGCCAUUCGUGUACCGAACACGAGGCGGCGGCCAUCUUUGUUCGUGGAAAACCAGCAUGGUUUUGUCGUCGAGUGCCUGGAACUAAAAUCGGC